rnacentral:rRNA from 1 species
AAUCAACGCUGGCGGCGUGCCUCGGACAUGCAAGUCGAACGAUUAAAGCUCUCUUCGGAGAGUGUAUAGAGUGGCGCACGGGUGAGUAACACGUAAGUAAUCUACCCUCGAGUGGGGAAUAACGUCCGGAAACGGACGCUAAUACCGCAUAAUGCAGCGGCACCGCAAGGUGACAGUUGUUAAAGGAGAAAUUCGCUUGAGGAGGAGCUUGCGGCAGAUUAGCUGUUGGUAAGGUAACGGCUUACCAAGGCUACGAUCUGUAACCGGUCUUAGAGGACGGUCGGUCACACUGACACUGAAUAACGGGUCAGACUCCUACGGGAGGCAGCAGUCGGGAAUUUUGGGCAAUGGGCGAAAGACCUGACCCAGCAACGCCGCGUGAAGGAUGAGGUAUUUCGGUAUGU